AGUAACUCCUCUUCGUUGAUCAUUGCUAGAGAACAUCACUGGAGGAAGUCAGAGGGAAAGAGAGAAGCUGAAGCCUGUUUAUGCUUCCCCUGAGCUUGUUAUUGGCUGCAGUCCUUUGGAGGUUUGCUUAAAGUGGUUUACAGGUAAGGAGUCAACUAUCGCGAACACCUUUUGCAGCAGUAAUGGCUUCUACUGUCAAAUAUGCACUCUACAUAUGCAAAUGAAGAAAGCCUGCAGUCACUAACCCAUCUGUCUGAGGAGAGGAACAACAGCCGCCAGGGUGAGAGGGAGAGCAACAGAAUCCCCUCACACAGGUACAAAGCUCUGAAGUGGCAACAUCAUUGCUACCAAGUGUUUACUUAAGUAGAUGCUUAUUCAAAUCUAGAGUCGACUCUUGCCUCUUCUGGGAGAUGUUUUGAAUGUGUGUAGCAAAUGAGAGGAAAAGAAAAGAAACUAUCUCAAACCAGAAACCACGUGGGUGGAAGAUUGAUACACACUUGAGAAAUUGCCAUUCUUCGAGGAGGAGGAGGAGGAGGAGGAGGAGGAGGAGGAGGAGCAGCAGCAGCAGCAGCAGCAGCAGCAGCAGCAGCAGCAGCAGCAGCAGCAGCAGCAGCAGCAGCAGCAGCAGCAGCAGCAGCAGCAGCAGCAGCAGCAGCUGGUCAAGUCAUUUACCUCCAACCAGGAAUCUAUCCCAGCGUGCCAUAAGGUGCUUGUAUUGACUACCCAGUGACUGGUGUCCCCGAGAUCAGAUGGGUGUGUGGUAGCACUUACGUGUCUGGGUUCUCUGCAAUGAUCCCAUCUGCGGACUUGCCUGGACCCUGGAUGGACUCCAUGGCUGUGGAGUAGAGGACUUUCUGCAUCCCCGGCCGCUUUGCGUCGGGUGCAUUUUGGAGGGGCUCCUCUUCUUUGUCUUUGAGGGAAUGGUCCAAGAUGUGGAUACCCAGCAAAAGGCUGUAGUCCAUGAUCUUGAAGCUUUCCAGCACCUGAGGAAGGAAAAGACCCAGGAGGUCAGUCAAUCCAAAAAGCCUGCCUGGGAGUCUAAGUGCCCUGGCAUGGCACACGCCACACCCUGUCUAUUGAGAGGCAGAUAGGUGAAACGUCAAAACCAAAACACUCCUAGUUACUGGGGGCUACUACAGGAGGGACUGCUGUGGUGGUGGGAGAAUGAAGUUUCUCUGCAAAUCUCAAGGAAGCACCCCUGCACGUGUUUCACUAACAUCGUUUACUGAGUGCUUUUCACACAGCAGGUUCCAUGGUCCUCCCCUAGGUUCAACCCUCACAAUUGCCCCAUGGGCUGGGUAUUACUGCGGUCUCUGUUAGGCAGAUGAAAAACAUGGAGACGGGAGAGUCAGCUCAGUCACGGAAAGCCCAUCAGUGACAGAUCCACUAGGCAGACUCUGGCCCUAGCUUUCCUAAUCAGCACAAGAACAGAGAACCCACAAGCCAGUCUCACAAUUGCCCAUGCCCUGGCAUGCUCUCCACUUUUGCCUGGAUUUUAUUUUCUGCAUCUGAAUCUCACUGGUGUAGUCAUGGUCUUUUUCAAAGCCCGUCUUUCAGAGUCGCCAGUCAUUUCCCCAUAGCCGGUCUUCUUAAUAUAUAUGAGCUCAACGAAUAACAGGGCUUAACGCUUAAUUAUCUACUCUGUAGGCAGCGGGGAGGUGAAGGAAGUAAAAAAUGGUUCAGUGUAGCCAGACAAUGGUGCUGUGAGGGAAAAUGAGAGAACAGAAGGUUCCGGUGAGCAAGCAUCCCUCAGGCUGGCUUUAGAGUGCAGGGAGACCCCUGGACCAGCCUUAGGCAGAAAGUGCCUGGGCAGGAGGCAGGCCUGAAAAUGGGUUCUCCUGUAUGAGCUUUUCCCUUUUCUCCUAGUGCGAGUGAGUUCUCCAGACCACAGACAGUUGUAAUACCUGCCGUUUUCACACAAAGCUGUUCAGGAGACGAAAACACGAAGACCUGAUCCUUCUGGUCCUUAACCAAUGAGGAUAAAAUCCCAGAAUUCUGCAUUCUUCUCAUUUUCUCAAUGUUUUUCUUUCUUAAUUUUUAAUUUUUUUUUUGUUCUUUUUUUUUUUCGGAGCUGGGGAUCGAACCCAGGGCCUUGCGCUUCCUAGGUAAGCGCUCUACCACUGAGCUAAAUCCCCAGCCCCCAAUUUUUAAUUUUUUUUCUAUGUACACUGGUGUUCUGCCUCUAUGUAGGUCUGAGUGAGGGUGGCAGAUCCCAUGGAACUGGAAUUAUAGGCAGUUGCAAGCUGACAUAUGGGUGCUGGAAAUUGAACCCUGGUCCUCUGCAAGAGCAGCCAGCUCUCUUAACUGCUGAGCCGUCUCUCCAGCCCUCAGCCUGAGUGUUUUUAAAGCAGAGAGUCAUGCUAUUUGAAGGAGGAGUUGGAUGGGAGGGAGAAUACUUGUGGACACAACUUCAUGGAGGCUAGGUAAGAAAGCCUUAAAAGCGGGAUACACAGCUAAACAAAGAAUUCUCAGGUGAGGAAUAUUGAAUGGCCGAGAAGCAUCUAAAGAAAUGUUUAACAUCCUUAGUCAUCAGGGAAAUGCAAAUCAAAACAACCCUGAGAUUCCACCUCACACCAGUGAGAAUGGCUAAGAUCAAAAACUCAGGUGACAGCAAAUGCUGGCGAGGAUGUGGAGAAGGAGGAACACUCCUCCAUUUUUGGUGGGAUUGCAAACUGGUACAAUCAUUCUGGAAAUCAGUCUGGAGGUUCCUCAGAAAAUUGGACAUUCCACUACCUGAGGACCCAGCUAUACCACUCCUAGACAUACACCCAAAAGAUGCUCCAACAUAUAACAAGGACACAUGCUCCACUAUGUUCACAGCAGCCUUAUUUAUAAUAGCCAGAAGGUGGAAAGAACCUGGAUGUCCCUCACCAGAGGAAUGGGUACAGAAAAUGUGGUACAUCUACACAAUGGAGUACUACUCAGCUAUUAAAAACAAUGACUUCAUGAAAUUCUUAGGCAAAUGGAUGGAACUAGAAAGCAUCAUCCUGAGGGAGGUAACCCAAUCACAAAAGAUCACACAUGGUAUGCACUUGCUGAUAAGUGGAUAUAAAAGCUCAGAAUAUCCAAGAUACAAUUCACAGAACACAUGAAGCUUCAAGAAGAAGGAAGAACAAAGUGUGGAUGUUUCAGUAGCGCUUAGAAGGGGAAGCAAAUAUACUCACAGGAGGAGAUACAGAGACAGAGUGGGGGGGCAGAGACUAAAGAAAAGGCCAUCCGGAGACUGAGCCACCUGGUGAUCCAGCCCAUGUACAGUCACCAAACCCAGACACUAUUGUGGAUGCUUGCUGACAGAAGUCUGAUACAACUGUCUCCUGGGAGGCUCUUCUAGACAAAUAUAGAGUCUGACAAAUACAGAGGCGAUGGUGGCAGCCAACCAUUGAACUGAGCACAGGGUCCCCAAUGGAAGAGUUAGAGAAAGGACUGAAGAAGCUGAAGGGGUUUGCAACCCCAUAGGAACAACAACAAUAUCAACCAACAAGAUCCCCUCAGAGCUCCCAGGGACUAAACCACCUACAAAAGAGUACACAUGGAGCUACUGAUGGCUCCAGCCACAUAUGUAGCACAGGAUGGCCUUGUUGGGCAUCAGUGGGAGGGGAAACCCUUGGUCCUGGGAAGGCUCUAUGUCCCAGUGUAGGGGAAUGCCAGAGCGGGGGAGUAGGGUGGGGCUGGGUAGGGGAGCACUCUCAUAAAAGCAGGGGGAGGGAGGAUGGGAUAGGGGGUUUCUGGAGGGGAAACUGAGAAAGAGGAUAACAUUUGAAAUGUAAAUAAAGAAAAUAUCCAAUAAAAAAAAAGGAAGGCUUCAUGAGGUAGGACAUGAGUGGUCUCUGAUACAUGCCGGUUCCCGGGUCUGAGUCAUCAUUGCCAUCAACGCUGACUGAGCACAUAAUGAACUGUAAACAAGUGUCAGUUUUGCCAGAGAAUUCACCCUUCAGGUUUUCUUUGAAUAGCCCUAGGGGUGAAACGGAACCUUGUGAAUAUUACCUAAGCAUGCUAUCAUUGAGCUGGGACCAGAGACUCACCCUUCAUCCUCUGAGAUGCCAAAGUUAUAUCUCCAGAGUGUAGACAGACAACAGCUGAGAGUAGAAUCAUAUUAUUUGAGAGGCCUGGGGCAUAGCAGUUAUAUUUCCAGAGAUCUGGGUAUGACUUUAUAGUCGUGCAGAACCGGCCUCCCCUAACUAACUGAAACAGGGUGACGUCAGACGGGAGGAGGAAGUUGGAGAGUUGGGUAACGUUGCUGAUCACUGGCCCAGGGCAGUCAGUUCUCCAUGAAGGCAUGCUGCCACUCCAGCCUGACCCUUCCACGGAGCAAUGGACACCACGGGAAACAAGACUGCUUUGUGUCAGGACACCAAGGGCUCAGCCUCUGAAAGGAAAUACUAACGCAGGCUGGAUGUCCUUCACACAGAAACAAAGAGUGUAUAGGGCCUCAGUCCUAAUUCUCAGCCAUACUGACUGAAAUUAUGGCUUAGGAAUAGUCUCCACCCAGACAACCCAAGAAUCUCUUCAUAACUGCCAUGGGCAGAUGGUGAAUUUCGGCUCAUACUUAUUAGAGCUUCUUUCUUAGAGAUUUUGUUGGCUAAGGAGUUGAGGCUAAAGAGCAUAAGUCCUGUGGCCCUGGGUGGGUCUCCUUAUCCAUAAAAUUGUGACAAUAACAUUGCCUGUUACGUAUGGUGCUUGAGAAAAUUAAAUAAGGCAGCACAGAUGAAGUAAACGCUCAGGAAAAUUCCUCAUAUAAAGUAACCACCCAGUUAAUUGCUCUCAAGACUCAUUAUGAUAAUUCGUUGCGACCCAUAACUCAUACUAGUUUGAGAAAAUACACAUACCGCUAGAAACAAACAUCUAUGGAGUCCCAAUUCUGAAGACGAAAUUCACUAAAAGUCCAGCAAAACCUCAGAUGCAUUCCAGCCUGCUCAUGGUAUGGUUUGGGAGGGGCUGGAUUUCUUUUGGGAUUUGCAUCAACUAAAGAUCAAACUGUUACUACUCACAUCUUCCCAGUUUGUUACAUUAAAAAGUCGUUUCACUAAAGGAACUGAUUUAUCUGUCAGGAGUGUAACACGCGUGGGCUUUAGGAGUGAGCGAUAUCUACAACCCCAGUCCAGGCCAUCACGCGGGUGCGUAUUUAUCUCCAGGAAGUCUGUCUGAUGUCACUGUGAUUGGUGGGUUCUGUCCCCUACUAUUCCAAACACAGGCUACCAUAGAAACACAGGCACCUUUUCAUCUAGCCUGGGCAGUACUUUCCCUCCCCACGGGAGAAAGGAAACAGAUCAUUCUCAGAGUUACAGAAAAUGGGGAUCAGGUUGGUAUGCAGCACGGCUUUUUACUGACAAAGUGUGAUGUUUCCUUCUCGCUCAAGAACCAUUUAAAGUCAGGGCUACAACUGGAACGCAUAAUAAGAGUACAGGGAAAUAUGUCAGCAGGCUCGGUAAGAGACCGUGCGUGAUUCUUGAAAGAGGCUGGAGCGGCAGAACAAUGGUCCACAUGCUGAGGACGACCUUGCUAAGUCAGCCCAUCAGAUCGCAGCUCUAGAUUCUGUCUAUGUGCAACUCAGGUCAAGUUUAGCUACCGCCUUCCUACCGGAGACUCCUAAAUUGUUAUCUUUGGCCGGUUCUCAUUCCUCAACUGUAGCCCGAUUAUUCCCAGUGGCCUCUGGGUAUUUUAAAGCUUCUAAACAGUCCGGAAUUGUAACUCUAAACUCUUAUUUUAUCCCAAAGCAAUUCUCCCCCCUCACUUCCCUCUCUCAUUUGAAAUCAAUGUAAUGUAAAUUCUGGACCCCGGGAUGCCUUUCCUUUCAUGAGCUGCCCAGUCUUGCAGCUGCUGUUAUCAAAACAUCCCUCUUCUCUAAUCAUUCCCUUUCAGCUUCCCUUCUGGGUAGGCUCAGUGACCCACGGGCAGGAUAGGUCACAUGGCAUCCCUAGGCCUCCGCACUUGCCCCUACUUGGUGGCAGUUUCACAUCAAAGGUCUUUGCUCUUAUGGUCACAGUACCGUCUCCUUCUUUGAUACCAGCCCAGAUUCACUGCCCGGGCUACUUAAAGGUCUGAGUUACUCCAAAGGGACCUUUGAAGAUGGAAGCCAUGAUGUUUUUCUGUUCACGCUGUUUCUUUUUUUUUUUUUUUUUUUUUUUUUGGUUCUUUUUUUCGGAGCUGGGGACCGAACCCAGGGCCUUGCGCUUCCUAGGUAAGAGCUCUACCACUGAGCUAAAUCCCCAGCCCCCACGCUGUUUCUUCUACAGACUUUUUAGUCUCUCAACACAGAGGGGAUUUUUGCAGCCUAACUCAUAUGGUAAUUCUACUUAAACUAUACUAUGAACUGUUUGGAACAAGAUUUCCCUCUGAAACCUCAAGCGUGUUAUGUGUCCUUUUGUGCCUCAAAGCUCGAGCCCAGGUUGUAUCUGCAGUUUUCAUAUCAGAAGAAGAUGCUGGGCUCACCGAAGGCUGGCUCUACUCCAUGUUUCCUGCUGUGGAAGGAAUGCAUUUUGGUCAGGUUUUUAAGUCUACGUGCAAAUAUAAAGAAAGC